UGGUGUAUAACUCAGUGGUAAAGUGCAUGCUUAGCAUGCAUAAUGUCCUGGGCUCAAUCCCCAGCACCUCCA
rnacentral:tRNA from 1 species